GACGAACGCUGGCGGCGUGCUUAACACAUGCAAGUCGAGCGAGUUGAUUCCCUUCGGGGAUGAAGCUAGCGGCGGACGGGUGAGUAACACAUGGGCAACCUGCCUUAUAGAGGGGGAUAGCCUUCCGAAAGGAAGAUUAAUACCGCAUAACAUCAGAUUAUCGCAUGGUAGACUGAUCAAAGGAGCAAUCCGCUAUAAGAUGGGCCCGCGUCGCAUUAGCUAGUUGGUGAGGUAACGGCUCACCAAGGCGACGAUGCGUAGCCGACCUGAGAGGGUGAUCGGCCACAUUGGGACUGAGACACGGCCCAGACUCCUACGGGAGGCAGCAGUGGGGAAUAUUGCACAAUGGGGGAAACCCUGAUGCAGCAACGCCGCGUGAGUGAUGAAGGCCUUCGGGUUGUAAAGCUCUUUGAUCAGGGACGAUAAUGACGGUACCUGAAGAACAAGCCACGGCUAACUACGUGCCAGCAGCCGCGGUAAUAC
rnacentral:rRNA from 1 species